UAACACGUAAACAACCUGCCUUCAGGAUGGGGACGACAGACGGAAACGACUGCUAAUACCGAAUGUGUUCCGGAGACCGCAUGAUUUCCGGAAGAAAGGAUGGCCUCUAUUUAUAAGCUAUCGCCUGAAGAGGGGUUUGCGUCUGAUUAGGCAGUUGGUGAGGUAACGGCCCACCAAACCUACGAUCAGUAGCCGGUCUGAGAGGAUGAACGGCCACACUGGAACUGAGACACGGUCCAGACUCCUACGGGAGGCAGCAGUGGGGAAUCUUCCGCAAUGGACGAAAGUCUGACGGAGCAACGCCGCGUGAGUGAUGACGGCCUUCGGGUUGUAAAGCUCUGUGAUCGGGGACGAAUGGCUGGUAUGCUAAUACCAUAUCAGAGUGACGGUACCCGAAUAGCAAGCCACGGCUAACUACGUGCCAGCAGCCGCGGUAAUACGUAGGUGGCAAGCGUUGUCCGGAAUUAUUGGGCGUAAAGCGCGCGCAGGCGGCUUCUUAAGUCCAUCUUAAAAGUGCGGGGCUUAACCCCGUGAUGGGAUGGAAACUGGGAGGCUGGAGUAUCGGAGAGGAAAGUGGAAUUCCUAGUGUAGCGGUGAAAUGCGUAGAGAUUAGGAAGAACACCGGUGGCGAAGGCGACUUUCUGGACGACAACUGACGCUGAGGCGCGAAAGCGUGGGAGCAAACAGGAUUAGAUACCCUGUAGCCCACGCCGUAAACGAUGA
rnacentral:rRNA from 1 species